rnacentral:rRNA from 1 species
GUGGAGCAUGUGGAGCAAUUUGACUCAACGCGGGGAAUCUUACUAGGUCCGGACCGAUUCUAUGAUCGUCGUACUGUGGGGUGCUACGUGAUUACUGGAUGAGUGGUGCAUGGCCGUUCUUAGUUCGUGGUGUCAGUUGUCUACUUAAUUGUCAUUGGUUCUCGUAUCUUACGGUACAGAACUGAUAACGAACGAGAUCGAGGCCCGUGGUUGBGUCGUUGGUUAUUAUUGUGUGCGGCAUUAACCACGGGGAUCGCGUAAUACUCCACGGUACGAUCGAAAGACUCGGCAAUAACAGGUCUGUGAUGCCCUCAGAUGUUCUAGGCUGCACACGUGCUACAUUGUGGUUUCGCGUAGUGUGUGUGUGCAUAGAACUGAUAAGAUCCCCCGCACCGAGUCUCAAUUAAUCACUUGGUUGGACUCACCGAUUGUAUAAUUAUUCGGUAUACUA